GAUACUAAGAUAAGGUGUGCGCACGCAGAAGUGCACGACAUAGAUGGAACAGUGAAUAUGACCCCUGCAGCUGACAGGCUUUCCUCCUGAGCACUCACAUCGUGUGAUGUGCUGUCUGUAGCGGAAAUGCAGAAAACCAGGUGUCACACAAUAUUACAGGGCUGAAAACAUCUCCUAGAAACAGCAGCAUAGGAACUGAUGAAAACAGUAGCGGACCUACUCAACAGAGGGCCCAGGUGCAAUUGUUUUAUGGUUCCCCAAAGAUUUGAAAAAGCAAAAUAAACUGUGGAUCAUGUACCCAGUUCCCUCCUAAACGGUUUUAGGACAGCAUCUUAGAAGUGGAGCUGUCAAGAAAGAAGAGGACAAAUAAGGUUCCUCAUUGACACCAAAGUUCUACAGAUUGGUGCAAAUACAGGACCAGCCUAUGCACAUAAGAGAGCAGGGCAGCAGAAUAGGAUGGAGGAGGGAGAUGGCAGUUUCAGGAGUAGAGGGCCCAGCAACUUCAUUUGAAAAUGAGAAAGGCAGAAGGGCAGCAAGGAUAUGGAUUGUAGGGCACACUUACAUACAUUGAGGAGCAUUCAAGAGAGCAAAGGUAGUAGCAGGCCAGGAGCUGGGGUUCCCUACUAGCAAGGCAACAGUCAGGUGGAUAGGAAGGAGAGUAAUGAGAUGAGAACAAUUCUCGCAAGUCAUUAAUAAGGCAGCAGCAAGGUCCCCUGAGGUAAUGGUAAUUCAUUGGGAGGUAACAAUAUAGACUAUUGGCAGAACGUGGAUUUGAUAGCAGCAUCAGGUGUCUUGUUUCCUAAUGGAAGCAUCUCAGGGCAGUAUGGUCACCUAAAAUUACAUUGGAGGGGAAAAGAGCUCAGAGAGGCAGAUAGAGAACUAGGAAGUGGAUAAAUAGUGCAGUUGCUCAGUACAUUUACACACUGGCAGCAGCAAGUACAAAUUAAGUAGUAAAACAUGAUAGGAUAAAAGCAGACUUAGAAGAAUAUUACAGGCACACAAAGUGCACCUGUCAGAAGCUGGCAUAUACAGGUUGGGACCGAAAAGUGUACAGGGCUUGGUUAGAAAUUCAGGCAAGCGACCAGUAUGGUUUAAGUUGUUGCUGCAUUGGUAAAUUACUGUUUUUUAGUUUGGGGUCUCAUUGCCUUUAAGUCUAAUUGCAAUUGGUAACAGAGACCUUUUAAUUUUGCCUCUAACUUUGUCUCUUUAUCUGAUGAGUUGAAACUAAUGACUGGGUUAGAGUAGUAAUGUAAGGAAAGGUAACAUGGGAGUACUCACUACAAAUUGUCUGUAAAAGACUUAAUAAUGUGAAGUGCCUAAUUGCAUACAUAGCAUAAUAAAUAUAUGAAACAGGAGGAAGUGGGUGAUUGUCGGCAGCCCCCACCUCCUUCCCCUCCUGAAUACCUGGGAGGCAGCAGGGGAGGGGGUGGAGCUGCAGACAAUAGUGGGUGAAUAAUAGAGUGGUAGAAAGACUAUAAGUGCUUAACUUACAGGAACAGACAGAUUACUUUUUUUUUUUUUUUUUUUUUCCUCUUCCACCCAUCCCAUUAAUGUUGGUGCUAAGGAUUUUCAUUUUCUUUUGCAGAUAGUCAUCUAAAACAUGAUGGUCAUAGAGCGGCAACGAGUCCUAUAGGAAAUAACAACCAAUGGAAUAGUAGGUGCACUGUGAGAGAGAUUUGCCUAGGUUUAAAUCAUGAGCUAUAGCCACAUAGCAGGGUACCUAACACGGUAGCUGUAGCAGGGUCAGAUAGAACCCCCCCCCCCCCCCCAGUGGUGGUAAUUGGUUGCUAAUUUGUGUGCAGGUUGGGACUGAGGAGUGCACAGGGUGGAAAUUAAGACCAGCAAACCUUAUGGGUGAACUUGAACUUUCCACAUGCACAAUGAGUAGUCAAUUUGGGACCUGUCGACAAACUUGGUGGGAGGAGUGUGGGCCCCUAAUUAUAGUUAUAUAGUUGCUGUAUUGAUCAAUUACUGGGUUUUUAAGUUAGGAGAAUCAUUGCUUUUAAAUAUAAUUGCAAUUGAUUAAAUAAAGUUACCUUUUAAUUUUGCCACCAAA